rnacentral:rRNA from 1 species
UACGUAGGUGGCAAGCGUUGUCCGGAUUUACUGGGCGUAAAGCGUGCGCAGGCGGUUUUGUAAGCCAGAUGUGAAAUCCCCGGGCUCAACCUGGGAAUGGCAUUUGGGACUGCAAGGCUCGAGUGCGGCAGAGGAGACUGGAAUUCCUGGUGUAGCAGUGAAAUGCGUAGAUAUCAGGAGGAAUACCGAUGGCGAAGGCAGGUCUCUGGGCUGACACUGACGCUCAUGCACGAAAGCGUGGGGAGCAAACAGG